UGAUUAACCAAAUUAUUAUUUUUGGAGAAUACUAACCGUAAUUUGAAUGGCAAAAAUCGGGCGUCGUUUUGGCUAUGCUCGUCUGCUUAAGCCUAGUCGCAGGUACAUAUUUUACUAUAAGUAUAGUUAUUUUUUAUGGGUAUAUUGAAGUAUAUUUAGAUUAAUUUUGCAAUAAAUUAAUUGUGUGCAGGAUGUUUUGGCGACAAAGCAGUUUGUCAGCUUUCUAUACGUCCAAAAAGAUGCGACCCCGAUACCCCUCAUAGUUGUGAUGGUCUUUGCAUAGCCAAAACACAUCCGGCUAAUUUUAUUAGGGGAAGUUGUAUUCGUGAAACCCUUAUACAGACUUAUUGUACGUGCACC
rnacentral:lncRNA from 1 species